rnacentral:rRNA from 1 species
GAUGAACGCUGGCGGCGUGCCUAAUACAUGCAAGUCGAGCGAACAGACGAGGAGCUUGCUCCUCUGACGUUAGCGGCGGACGGGUGAGUAACACGUGGAUAACCUACCUAUAAGACUGGGAUAACUUCGGGAAACCGGAGCUAAUACCGGAUAAUAUAUUGAACCGCAUGGUUCAAUAGUGAAAGACGGUUUUGCUGUCACUUAUAGAUGGAUCCGCGCCGCAUUAGCUAGUUGGUAAGGUAACGGCUUACCAAGGCAACGAUGCGUAGCCGACCUGAGAGGGUGAGCGGCCACACUGGAACUGAGACACGGCCCAGACCCCAACGGGAGGAAGAAGUAGGGAAUCUUCCGAAAAGGGCGAAAGCCUGAGGGAGCAACGCCGCGUGAGUGAUGAAGGUCUUCGGAUCGUAAAACUCUGUUAUUAGGGAAGAAAAAAUGUGUAAGUAACUAGGCACGUUUGGAGGGUACCUAAUCAGAAAGCCACGGCUAACUCGGUG